rnacentral:rRNA from 1 species
UGGGGAAUUUUGGACAAUGGGCGCAAGCCUGAUCCAGCAAUGCCGCGUGAGUGAAGAAGGCCUUCGGGUUGUAAAGCUCUUUUGUCAGGGAAGAAACGGUCUUGGUUAAUACCUGGGGCUAAUGACGGUACCUGAAGAAUAAGCACCGGCUAACUACGUGCCAGCAGCCGCGGUAAUACGUAGGGUGCAAGCGUUAAUCGGAAUUACUGGGCGUAAAGCGUGCGCAGGCGGUUAUGCAAGACAGAUGUGAAAUCCCCGGGCUCAACCUGGGAAUUGCAUUUGUGACUGUAUGGCUAGAGUGUGUCAGAGGGGGGUAGAAUUCCACGUGUAGCAGUGAAAUGCGUAGAUAUGUGGAGGAAUACCGAUGGCGAAGGCAGCCCCCUGGGAUAACACUGACGCUCAUGCACGAAAGCGUGGGGAGCAAACA